UUUUUUUUUAAUUUUUUUUUUCCUUUUUGAGGCUGCACUGGCGGCAUGUGGAAGUUCCCCAGCUAGGGUUUGAAUCAGAGCUACAGCUGCAAUCCUAUGCCACAGUAACACCAGAUCUUAACAGCAUCUGCAACCCACACCACAGCUGGAGGCAAUGCUGAAUCCUUAACCCACUGAGUGAGGCCAGGGAGUGAACCCACAUCCUCUCCGAAACUAUGCUGAGUUCUUAACCUUCUGAGCCACAAUGGGAACUCCUCAGUUUUUAUUUUUAAUCUUUGCCAAUUUGAUAAUCAAAAAUACAGCAUUUUUUUGUUUAAGUUGCAUUUCCUUGAUUACUAGUGAGGGUGGGCAUUUUUAUAUGGUUAGUAUCAUUUGUAUUUCUUAUACUGUGCAUUAUUGGUUUAAACUCUUUAUCCAAUUUUCUAUGAAAACAUUCACCAUUUUCUUAUUGAUUUGAAAGUACACUUUCCAAUACAUUAAACUUCUCUUGUAUAUGUUUCAAAUAUUCAAAUAUGUUUCAAAAUCUAUUUUUCCCAGUUUUCAAUUUAAUGUUUUAAAGACAAUUUUAAUGAUAUUUUGAUAUUCAGAGAUAGGAAAUGUUCUUAUUUCUUUUCUGCCUUUGAUAGCUGGUUCUGGUUUUUGGUUUGGUUUGGGUUUUUUUAUAUUUUAUGUGUGUGGGUUUUUUUUGGUCUUCAUGUCUUUUCUAGGGCUGCUCCCGAGGCAUAUGGAGGUUCCCAGGUAGGGGUCUAAAUGGAUCUGUAGCUGCCGGCCUACGCCAGAGCCAUAGCAACACGGGAUCCAAGCCAUGUCUGUGACCCACACCACAGCUCAAGGCAACGCCAGAUCCUUAUCCCACUGAGCAAGGCCAGGGAUUGAACCCACAACCUCAUGGUUCCUAGUCAGAUUCGUUAACCACUGAACCACGACAGGAACUCCAUGUGUGUGUUUUUUUGGUCUAUGCCCACAGCAUGCAAAAAUUCCCCAGCCAGGGAUCAAACCUGCUCCACAGCAGUGACCUUAGCCACAGCAGUGACAACACUGGAUCCUUUACCUGCUGAGCCAUCAGGGAACUCCUUUUUUUAAAAAAUAUUGAGCUCAUUCCUAAAUCCUGCUUGUUCCUAUUCAGGGCACCCCAGGUGAGUCUAGGCAUCCUAUAGCACAGCAGUUUCAGCACAGGUUGAUGUGUUCCCUUCCUUAAUGAGGCAAUGCCCUGAGUCCUCACAGCCCCAGGCUUUAGGAGAGAAAAAAGAAGUGCAAGCAAAUUUAAAAGCACACUGCCCUGAAGGGGAAAAAAAGACAAAAACGAAACACAAAACACUGCCCUGAAAACAGACAAAUUCAGGCUGCCACCAAUUUCCAAGAAAAUAAAUUCCAAAGAUAGUAAUAACUUUCAGUUAAAAAUAAAAAACCCACCUCGCAAGACAAUUCCGCUCCCAAAUAUCAAAAUCAUCUCUUUUGGUAGCAUCAGUACUGUGUAUAGUAGAGCUUCCCAGCUCACUGUUUGUGAGCACCCCUGCUUUCAAGUCUUUCCCUGGGGUUCCCUGCAUCCCUCUGCACAGAAAGAGAGGCCAGGCUCUGAAGUCAGGCUCAGGGAGACCAUGAGUUCUCUUCCUGCUUCCCCUUCUCCUUGCCUAAAGUCAUGACAAUUUCAAGGCACAUAUCAGGACUGAAAGUUAUUAGAAAGAGCCAGAAAGAUUUAAAAGCCUUCUUCUCCACCCCCACUUUCUUUAAUGAAAACAUUUGACAGCAAAUGCUUUACAUUAAAUUUAAGCCAAGAAAAUAAAUAGAAAAGAAAAACAUAAGGCAAAAAGAAGGCCUGGCCCACAGACAGCAGACAUAGUCACUGUUGUGCUAUAAAUCAAGGAGCCUGGGGAAGGCCUCCUCCUCAUACAUUCCCAGGAAUACCUCCCUACCACAGACUCACCAUAAAUUGUUCCUUUCUGAGAUGCCUAACCCAAUACCCACAGAGAGUGGAUGUUUGUGAGUAAUUGUUGGAAAUGCAAUAAUUCGGGGCAAGUACUGGGGUAUAUGCACUGGGUGUUUAUCCUCAAGUCUUCAGAGACACAGACUUCCCUCCAGGAUAAGGGGGUCCCACUGUACCUCCAGAGUAAAGUUCUGUCUGAUUUGCCUUUUCCAGUUGAGAAGGGGAUCUUGAUGGGGACAAGAGCCCAUGUGGCUUUGAUUAAAGUGGGAGGAGGAACCAGGAGAGGGGUGCUGCCAGGGCCUUAAGCACAUGCUUCCUCUGCCCACCGGGUAAUCCAGCUGUGGUCUCGAGGGAGAUGCCACACCGAUGUUAAAAGGCACAAAAACUAGGAACGGGGAUGUGGUUUUCACCCCCAACCUACUCACUACUCCCAGAAGCCUAUCUUAAUUCUGAAGCUGCAGAUCAGAACAACUCAACAUUCAGCCACCAAGCCCGGGUCACAUCCCUGACUCUGAAAGGCUCCAGCCCAGCUUCUGCUCAAGGAACCUGUAAUAUUUUAACACUUGUAAACUGCCCACUUCUAGAGUUUCUUUGUUGGUGACCUUAUUUUGCCAUCUAGCUUCAAUAUUAACUCAGCAUAGAAGGAGAGUGGAGGGAUGUCCUGGCUUGAGCCUAAGCUGGGCACAGAGCCAGGAUUCAGAUUCGUCUGGGCACGUCUGACAGGCUUGCCAGGCAGGCAGGAGUCUCUCAGCAUAAGAGAUGCAGGAGGCUUACAGAUAAUAACAUCCUAAGGCAGUGGGUGUGGAGGGGCACAUCACAGGUAUCAGAAUCACCAUGGAAACGUUAAAAAAUAUGUACACCCUACACAAAUGCAUUCCCCAUUCUGAUUGUGUGUUGUGUGUACAUGGGUACAUACGAGCAAGGAGCACUGCUUUGACGCCAAAAUUGGCCCUCAGAGUUACACAGGUCAGCCUGCACCGGGAGCCCUGAGGACUCCAGAGAACACAAGGUGGCUUCUGUACCUAAGCGCUCCUGACACACUGGCAGUGUGACUCUGCUAUGUAGCUCUGAAAACUGAUGGCUUCCACGCUUCAGGGAAUGUCUGCCUCAGGAAUCUUUAAACCAGAGACCACAGACUUCUGGAAGUCCAAGAAGAGGCGGCAAGGGUCCACGAACUCCUAAAAACUGCAAGCAACCAACUGGGUAUAUAUGUUUAUUUUUCUGGAAAUAGGUUUCUCAGAUCCUGAAAUGGUUAAGAAUUGGCAAGUGCCAAAAAAAUUGGGGGGCUGGAUAAGCAAUGAGAUCCUGCUGUAUAGCACUGGGAACUAUAUCUAAUCAUUUAUGAUGGAGCAAGAAAGAUAAUGUAAGAAUAACGAAUGUAUAUAUGUAUGUGUGACUGGGUCACCUUGCUGUACAGUAGAAAAUUGACAGAGCACUGUAAAUCAGUUGUCAUGGAAAACAAUUAAAAUCAUUAAAAUAAAAAAAUAAAAAAUUGGGGGGCAAGCAGGUUUUGUAAGGUUGGAAGAAUGCCACUAUAGUAGAUUUGGACCAAAGACAGGAAUAUACUGUUCUUUUAGUUACUGUGACUUAUUUUUACCUUGAGGCAUCGAUGACCUAGUGAAAUAUUGAAAAUGUGAAAUCUCACCUAUGCUCCAAGCUCACCUCAAAUACCGCCACCUCCUCUGCAGCCAAAAAAUAUUGCUCCCUUGCCUAAGCCUUGUUUGUACACCUCUCGGAACUCUGAGCAGUUUUUGCCUCGCAUUUUAGAUGGGCAUGUGCACACAUCCUGUCUCUUCUGCAAACAUUACCUUUGAGAGUGGGAAUCAUGUCUUACCCAUCUUCUUGUGGUUACCGUGUCCAACAUAGCAUAUUUACUUAGUUAUCACUGGAUAAGGGAAUGAGCAGAUCACAAAUCCAUCCUAUCUGCCAGACCUUUUACUCUCUCUACUUAAAGCACCUAGCCCUAUUUUCUUGGAGUUCCCGUCGUGGCGCAGUGGUUAACGAAUCCGACUAGGAGCCAUGAGUGCGGGUUCGAUUCCUGGCCUUGCUCAGUGGGUUAAGGAUCCGGCAUUGCCGCUUUGCCGUGAGCUCUGAGCCACGAAGGGAAAUCCCUCAGCUCCCUAAGUCCUUAGAGAAGCAGGGUCUCUGCAUUUCUGGGUCCCAGGUCCAACUCCAUCCUCUCCCAUACACACAUUUAAAUCCAACAUUUUCCUCACCACCUCAGCCUGGUCAUUGGAAAACUGACUGAGAGAAACUUCCAAAGGUUGGGGACAAUGUGAUAGAUAUCCAAUUUAACCCAUGUACUCCCCAGCCAUGGAGACUGAGACCCAGAAAGGCAAGGUGACUUGCCAGUGUCACACAUGGGGACCUGUCUUAUCCCCUGGCCCCUUCCUCCCAGCCUAGUGCCUUUCUAUUAUAUUAUAAAAUACAUAAUCUGUGGGAUCAAACAGGCCAAAAGAGCUAAGAGUGGCUCCAGAACAGAGGUGGAGCAGGACGGACUCAUGGUCAGAGAGUGCUCACACUUGGGAAUAACACCACGGAGGACCAUCUGGUCAGACCUGGAAUCCACCCUAGGCUGGCUGUUGGAGUAACUUGGUAUCACCCCAAAUGGGAUGAAUUGGGUGUCUGUCUUGAAAGCUAAUACAGCUAUAGGCCAGACUAUAGUUAAGUUAGAAUUUUAAAAUCUAUGGUCUAUAAACUAAUUCAUGUAUGUAUUUUUACAAAUGUUUUCUCAGUUUUCUAGGAUGAGCCAGUUUUGAGAGGGUCCUAUGUUGUCACAGCUGGGCUGGACUCCGAUUAGAGGAGAGAUAAUUUUUCUAGAUCUCAUUCAAUAUUGGGAUGAGGAAAAACAGUUGCCUGAACCAACAAGCCUGACAAAUAUGGGACAGAGAGAGCAGAAGCCAUAGGAAGAUUAAGCCUGCUUACCUGCUAAGUUUUCUCUUAAAGAUCCCUCACAAAUUUAAAACUUUAAUAAGAAACCAUAUUAUCCAAGGCUCUUAUGCAUAAUUCAUUAGCUUUUAACAGGACUUACCAAACUGAUCAGUUAGCAGUUAAGGAAAAGCAUGGGGGUGGGACCAGAAGACUUAGACUCUUCCUGCAUCUGGUUGGUUUGUUUGUUUUUGGCCACACCCACAGCAUGUGGAAGCUCCGGGGCCAGGGGUUGAACCCUGGCCUCAGUUGCAGCCUGCGCCACAGCUGUGGCAACACUGGAUCCUUAACCUGCUGCACCACACGGGAAUUUCCUCAGGUGCUAGUUUUAUGACUCGGAACAAGAUGCUUAACUUUUGUGAGUCGUGGCCUCUCCACCUAUAAAAUAGAGAGAGUAAAACCUGCCUCAUCUUUCUCUCUAUAUUUCGAGAAUUUAAUGAGCAAGCAUGUGAAUGCUUUUUAUAAACUGUAAAGAAAUAUAAAAUUUUAAUUAUCAUUAUCAAUUAACAUUCACAUUUAAGACUUUCCGAAUUAAACUCAGUCCUAAAUUUAGCGAAAUAUGAACUUGAAACUCUGCUUUGGGGGAAGGAGGAGGGUUUACAUGUUACCAACAUCAUUAUUUUAAAAUUCAAAUAAACAAAACAAAUUCCUACAGAAUUUGGUAGGAAUAAUCAUACGAAUAAAAAUACUUUUGUAAACCAGCCAUAGUGGAAAAAAAAAUCAUUAAAUAAAAAAAUACUUUUUCUUCCUUUUUUAGAUAAAAAAUACAAUAUCUUUCCCUUAUCAAAGAAAAGCGGUUGUUUGUUUUUUUAAGGGCCACUGGGGUGAAUUUUUUAAUAUACACUUUAUGGAGCAGAUAAAAUGUUGUUUACUCAAUUGCUGCAUGCUGGAGCAACGAGAAUCAGUAUCAACUGCCCAUCCUUCAAAAGGGCUCACAUUUUUGACUGCUGGGAAAAUCUUGUCCCUUCAGAUCCUCUACUUUCAUUUUACACCAUGGAAAUGUUUGUUACUUGGUCCCAAAUUGCAUGAAGACCUUCUUUGCUGAGAUAAGCAAAGCUUUGCCAUUUUUAGUACCUCUGAUCCCAAACUGAUUCUACAGAUUUGGCUGCCCAGACAAGCCUACUGAUGGGCAGAUAUUUAUGAGUCUGCACAUAACUGAGGGAUGCCCUUACAAUGCAAUAAUCCUUAGCCCACAUCUGCCAACCUCCAAGGCAUAAUUAACAUUAUUUCAUUUUAUUUUUAAAAUUGCACCCUGUGUAACACAGCCCCUGGGUACUUGUAGAGAAAAUGAACACAUUAUAACAAAUAAAAUAUUACAGAACAACAACUAAUAGCUUAAACUCAUUAAAAUUAAGAACCCACAAAAAUAGCUUUAUUGCCAGGCCACUGGGGAGGAGCAAGCUCCUUUAGCGGCUAAGACUGGGAUGCAUUAGAAAGAAGAGGCUUUUCUUAGGCAAUGCAGGAGAAGAAGGGUUGGAGGAGGAAAAUGGCAAGCUUUAUUCAGAGGGCAUUCUUUCCCAGCAGGCCCACCUAAGGUCCCUGCAUUAUGGUGAUGGGCCAAUACUGUCCUGGUGACCAUGGACAGUAGGGUCCUAUUUGGCUUCUUGAGAUGUGAGCCCAACUUUAAAUCAUUAGCUAAAGUGUUCCCUGUUUCACUUUCCUGUCAGACUUAGAACUUGAUGUCAUAUCCCUC
rnacentral:lncRNA from 1 species